UGCUGGUGCGGCCCUAGAAAAGGCAAAAAAACCAAAAAAAAAAAAAAAAGCAUUAAUUAUGCUGUACACCUUAAACUUAUACUGUAAGUAUGCUGUAUGUCAAUUAUAUGUCAAAAUAGGAAUAAAAAAAUAACCUUGAGAAGUGUUGUACAUUCAAUUAAAAUAUUUGCUUAUUUACUAUAUGCAAAGUACUAGAGCAGACACGACAAAGACACAGGACUUGCACAAUGGAGCUCAUGGUCUCAUGGGCUAGACAGUCUCACAUGCCCAAAUUGCCUAAUCAACAUAAAUGCUUAAGUGUACAAUAUUUGCCUCUAACUAUAGGCUAGUGAACUCCUGAUUCCCUGCCCCCAACCGUUAUCUAACUACAUAUACAAAACAUGCUCUAAUCACAGUUUUCCCAACAUCAACAAAUGGCAACUCCAUUUUUCCAGCUGUUCUGGACAAAAACCUUGGUGUCAUCCUUGUUUUCCCUAACAAUCUAUAUCCAAUUCAUCCUGUUGUCUCUAUCUUCUAAAAUGAACUCAGAACAUGCACUUCUCACUGACUCUGCUGCUAUGAUUACUACAGUAGCAUCAUAACUAAUCUCCCAGCUUCUGCCUGACACUAUAUUUCCAAAAGUCUAUUCUCAACACAGAAGCUUGAUCAUCCUCAGGGAAGGUCCUAGCUGGAGAUGAUUAGGUAGAGAGAUACAUUAGAUAAUGAUGAACAAGAAAUAGAAGGAAAAGGAAGAGAGAGGAAGGAAGGGGGGAAGGAGGGAAGGAGGCAGCUGAUCAUUAGAUUUAACAAUGCAGAGAGCAUUCAUGGCCUCAAAAAGAAGAGACUCAGGAGAGAGACAGAGGUAAAGGCAUGUCUGGAGUGGAUUGGAGAGGCGGAAAGUGAGCAAUUGGUGAUGGCAAGUGUAAUCAACUGCUUUAGGGAGUUUUGUUCCACGGAGGUGCAUAAAAAUGAAAAGAUGACAUCAAGAGAGUUUUUUAAAGGUAGGAGAUAUAGCAUGUUAGAUCUUUUUGUUUGUUCUGUUUUUUUUUUCUUUUUCCUUUGCUUUUUAGGGCUGCACCUACAGCACAUGGAGGAUCCCAGGCUAGUGGUCAAACAGGAGUUGCAGCAGCCAGCCUAUACCACAGCUAUAGCCACUCAGGAUCCAAGCUGCAUCUUUCACCUAGCCACAGCUCACAACAAUGCCGGAUCCUUAACCCACUGACCGGGGCCCAGGAUCAAACCUCAUGGAUACUAGUUGGGCAUGUUACGACUGAGGCAUGACGGGAACUCCAGCAUGUUGGAUCUUGAUGGAAAGAUCUACUCUAUAGAAAUAAACUGAUAAUGCAAGAGAGAAAGGGAGAACUGCUAGAUAAAUGCUAUGGUGCAAAAGUAACAAAAUAGAAAUGAGUCCUCAGGUUAAAGGGUUGGCCUUGGCCAUAAGCACAGAUGCUCACCUGGUGGUUAAGUUGAGAGAAGAUAACAGUAAUGAUGAGGGACUUUGUGCAUCAUGUAUCAUGUAGAACGUUUUCCCUAAAAUUAAGAGAGAGAUAUAUCAAACAAAAUGAUACAAAAGAACUUAUUUAUAAAACAGAAACAAACACAGAUUUCAAAAUCAAUCUUAUGGUUACUAAAGGUGAAACCAUAGAGGGAAGCGAGGAAUUGAAAAGGUGGGAAUAACAUACACACUACAGUAACAAAAAAGGUGAUUAAUAAGAAUCUACUAUAUAGCACAGGAAAAUCUACUCAAUAGUGUGUAAUAACCUACAUGAGAAAAAAGAUUGGGUAUAUUUAUAUGUAUAACUGAUUCAUUUUGAUGUACACCUGAAACUAAUACAACAUUGUAAGUUAACUAUACUUCAAAAAAAUUCUAAAAAAGAGAGAACAGGACAAACACCUAAAGGGCUGAAUGAGGAACAGGGAAGAACUAGUUCCCGUCAUGGCGCAGUGGUUAACGAAUCCGACUAGGAACCAUGAGGUUGCGAGAUCGGUCCCUGCCCUUGCUCAGUGGGUUAACGAACCGGCGUUGCCGUGAGCUGUGGUGUAGGUUGCAGACGCGGCUCGGAUCCCACAUUGCUGUGGCUCUGGCGUAGGCCGGUGGCUACAGCUCGAAUUCAACGCCUAGCCUGGGAACCUCCAUGUGCCGUGGGAGCGGCCCAAGAAAUAGCAACAACAACAACAACGAC
rnacentral:lncRNA from 1 species